rnacentral:rRNA from 1 species
CAGUAGCCGCGGUAACACGUAGGGUGCAAGCGUUAAUCGGAAUUACUGGGCGUAAAGCGUGCGCAGGCGGUUCUAUAAGACAGAUGUGAAAUCCCCGGGCUCAACCUGGGAACUGCAUUUGUGACUGUAGAGCUGGAGUGCGGCAGAGGGGGAUGGAAUUCCGCGUGUAGCAGUGAAAUGCGUAGAUACGCGGAGGAACACCGAUGGCGAAGGGAAUCCCCUGGGCCUGCACUGACGCUCAUGCACGAAAGCGUGGGGAGCAAACAGGAUUAGAUACCCCGUAGUCCCUGUCUCUUAUACA